GACGAACGCUGGCGGCGUGCCUAAUACAUGCAAGUAGGACGCAGUUGCGAACGGGUGAGUAACGCGUAGGUAACUACCUAUUAGAGGGGGAUAACUAUUGGAAACGAUAGCUAAUACCGCAUACUAGUAGCUGGACCUUCGUUGUAUUAGCUAGUAGGUAGGCUAAUGGCCUACCUAGGCAACGAUACAUAGCCGAACUGAGAGUGAGAUCGGCCAGACUGGGACUGGGACCUGGCCCAGACCCCUAGGGGAUAAAGCAGUGAGGAAUCGUCCGCAAUGCUGGGAAGCCUGACCGAGAAAAGACGAGGGAGCCAAGAAGGUCUUCUGAUCGUAAAGCUCAGUUGUUAAGGAACCGGUACUUAACCAGAAAGGGACAGCUAACUCCGUGACAGCAGCCGCGGUAAUAC
rnacentral:rRNA from 1 species